GACGAACGCUGGCGGCGUGCCUAACACAUGCAAGUCGAACGGAGUAGUUUCUUCGGAGAUUACUUAGUGGCGAACGGGUGAGUAACGCGUGAGAAACCUGCCUUUCAGUGGGGGACAACAGUUGGAAACGACUGCUAAUACCGCAUAAUGUUAUUUGGGGGCAUCCCCGAAUAACCAAAGCUUUAUGUGCUGAAAGAUGGUCUCGCGUCUGAUUAGCUAGUUGGUGAGGUAACGGCCCACCAAGGCGACGAUCGGUAGCCGGACUGAGAGGUUGAACGGCCACAUUGGGACUGAGACACGGCCCAGACUCCUACGGGAGGCAGCAGUGGGGGAUAUUGCACAAUGGGGGAAACCCUGAUGCAGCGAUGCCGCGUGAGGGAAGACGGUCUUCGGAUUGUAAACCUCUGUCCUUGGUGAAGAAACAUGACGGUAGCCAUGGAGGAAGCCACGGCUAACUACGUG
rnacentral:rRNA from 1 species